UCCCAGACUCCUACGGGAGGCAGCAGUGGGGAAUAUUGCACAAUGGGGGAAACCCUGAUGCAGCGACGCCGCGUGAGUGAAGAAGUAUUUCGGUAUGUAAAGCUCUAUCAGCAGGGAAGAAAUAGCGACCUUUGGGUCGCCAGACGGUACCUGAUUAAGAAGCCCCGGCUAACUACGUGCCAGCAGCCGCGGUAAUACGGAGGAUGCGAGCGUUAUCCGGAUUUAUUGGGUUUAAAGGGUGCGCAGGCGGAGGUGCAAGUCAGUGGUCAAAUUGCGGGGCUCAACCCCGUACUGCCGUUGAAACUGCAUCCCUUGAGUGCGCGAGAAGUAUGCGGAAUGCGUGGUGUAGCGGUGAAAUGCAUAGAUAUCACGCAGAACUCCGAUUGCGAAGGCAGCAUACCGGCGCGCAACUGACGCUCAUGCACGAAAGCGUGGUUAUCGAACAGGAUUAGAUACCCCCGUAA
rnacentral:rRNA from 1 species